GAUCAGUACUUCCCACCGGACUGACUGAACUGACAUGAUGAUGGACUUCGGAGACUGCUACUAGCUGGAACCCUUCUUGCUUUUUGACAUUUUCUUUACUAAUAUUUUUUUUUUGUUUAAGAUGGGAGUGGGACGGUAUAAGAAGUUUGGAGUAACUCGAAAAAUGAUUAAUGCAAAUAGACGUAAUGCGCAAAUACGUAGAACGGUCAUAAUCGCGAGUAACCAAAAAAACACCCAGUCUGAUGAAAUAGAUAUUCAGGAACAACUUUGUUUAUCUGGAGACACUAACAAUUUCGACGAAAAAGAGAACAACCAAGAAACAAAUAAAAUAAAACCUCCGGAUGAACCUUGUUCAUCUAAAGUUAGCUAUCUUAUGUAAAUAUAUUU